GAUGAACGCUGGCGGCGUGCCUAAUACAUGCAUGUCGAGCGAAUGGAUUGAGAGCUUGCUCUUAUGAAGUUAGCGGCGGACGGGUGAGUAACACGUGGGUAACCUGCCCAUAAGACUGGGAUAACUCCGGGAAACCGGGGCUAAUACCGGAUAACAUUUUGAACCGCAUGGUUCGAAAUUGAAAGGCGGCUUCGGCUGUCACUUAUGGAUGGACCCGCGUCGCAUUAGCUAGUUGGUGAGGUAACGGCUCACAAAGGCAACGAUGCGUAGCCGACCUGAGAGGGUGAUCGGCCACACUGGGACUGAGAAACGGCCCAGACUCCUACGGGAGGCAGCAGUAGGGAAUCUUCCGCAAUGGACGAAAGUCUGACGGAGCAACGCCGCGUGAGUGAUGAAGGCUUUCGGGUCGUAAAACUCUGUUGUUAGGGAAGAACAAGUGCUAGUUGAAUAAGCUGGCACCUUGACGGUACCUAACCAGAAAGCCACGGCUAACUACGUGCCAGCAGCCGCGGUAA
rnacentral:rRNA from 1 species